CCUACGGUGUGCAGCAGUGAGGAAUAUUGGUCAAUGGGCGAGAGCCUGAACCAGCCAAGUCGCGUGAAGGAUGACGGCCCUACGGGUUGUAAACUUCUUUUGUCAGGGAGCAAUUGAGCCCACGUGUGGGCUUAGCGAGAGUACCUGAAGAAAAAGCAUCGGCUAACUCCGUGCCAGCAGCCGCGGUAAUAAGGAGGAUGCGAGCGUUAUCCGGAUUUAAUGGGUGUAACGGGAGCGUAGACGGUUAUGUAAGUAUGGAGUGAAAGGCCGGGGCCCAACCCCGGGACUGCUUUGGAAACGGGGGAACUGGAGUACAGGAGGGGCAGGCGGAAUUCCUGGUGUAGCGGUGAAAUGCGUAGAUAUCAGGAGGAACACCGGCGGCGAAGGCGACCUGCUAGAACAUAACUGACGCUGAUGCGCGAAAGCGUGGGGAGCAAACAGGAUUAGAUACCCUGGUAGUC
rnacentral:rRNA from 1 species